GUGAUUUCUCAGAGAGGAAAAUGGGAAACACCGAGGAGCUGUCGGCCAUGCACCACUGUGCAAGUGUGACAGAAAGUUUCAGUCCCAUCCUACAUUAAGUCAGACAUCAACGGGAAAUGCCACCAAGUCUGGACCCGGUGUCUCAAGUUACUAAUGAUUUCACCUAUUUGCUCUACAUACAAGUUCAAAUCCUAACUGGAGAUGGCUCCGAGGACAAAGUGCUUUGUGCAUAAGCAUGAAGACCUAAGCUUGGUUCUAGCGUUCAUGUAAAACGUUGGAUGCCGGAGACUCGCCCUAAUGAGGAUGAACGAAUGAUGCUCCACUGUGCUGGGUUGCUAAGCUACGACGUCUGGCAGGCCAGGCAAAUACAGUACAUUUUGGAAUCUUGGCAUAGCCAACUGUCCACCAUAACCCCAUUGUAAGCUGGGGUACUUACGCACACAUACGCACCAUAUUUCAAAGCGGUAUCUCUCAACCUUUAUUAAAACAACGCUAUUCUAUGUGGAACUUAGUUUGGGCAAUCCCAACUCUCUCUGGUCACACAAGACCCCCUCUGCUGUGGGCUUGUGUCCGAGAAGGUUGCCAGUGCUUCGGGCUGGAGCUGUAGACCCAAGGCAAACAUCAAGAGCAACCUUGGGUAGUGAGAGGACAAAGAGAACUCAGUGUGCUUCGGUGUUCCAGUUCUGUGAUAUCACAUGAGUUUAGUUUGUGUAUUAAAAUUUAAGCAGGGAAGCCGUAAGAAGUAGGGUGUUUCCUGUGGUUUUAGUUCACACAUGAACUACGCUACUGACUUUGACACUAAAGGGAUUUUACUUUGAAUUCAAAAAUAAAAGAGGUCACGACAGCCAUGCUAGGUGCCUGUUGUACCUCUUAUAGAUUACUGUUCUGUUAUUAAAAUUCAUUAGUGAAUGAAUGACUGUUUACAUUGGGACUUUACUACUGAGGCUGUAAUAAUAAAAAAUCAAUAAAUGCUCACGACAUCUAAAAAUGAUAGAGUGGUGGCACUGAAAUUUUCCUUCCUUUUUUUUUACAGUUAUAUGU
rnacentral:sRNA from 1 species